rnacentral:rRNA from 1 species
GAUGAACGCUGGCGGUAUGCUUAACACAUGCAAGUCGAACGGACUCUUCGGAGUUAGUGGCGGACGGGUGAGUAACGCGUGAGAAUCUGGCUUUGGGUUCGGGACAACCACUGGAAACGGUGGCUAAUACCGGAUGUGCCGAGAGGUAAAAGAGAAAUUGCCUGGAGAUGAGCUCGCGUCUGAUUAGCUAGUUGGUGAGGUAAAGGCUCACCAAGGCAGCGAUCAGUAGCUGGUCUGAGAGGAUGACCAGCCACACUGGGACUGAGACACGGCCCAGACUCCUACGGGAGGCAGCAGUGGAGAAUUUUCCGCAAUGGGCGAAAGCCUGACGGAGCAAUACCGCGUGAGGGAAGAAGGCUCUUGGGGUGUAAACCUCUUUUCUUAGGGAAGAACAAAAUGACGGUACCUAAGGAAUCAGCAUCGGCUAACUCCGUG